GUUGAGGAGAAUGUCGUCUGGUUCGAGAUCUUUCAUUGACAAGGCAAAACCAAAAACUAUAGAUAUUUAUAUGUGUGUGUAGUCAUCACGUACGUGAAUGAUUUCGGACCAGGCUUCAUUCUCCUCAAC
rnacentral:pre_miRNA from 1 species